AUACGGAGGGUGCAAGCGUUAUUCGGAAUCACUGGGCGUAAAGGACGCGUAGGCGGGUUUGUAAGUCAGGUGUGAAAUCCUACAACUCAACUGUAGAACUGCACUUGAAACUACAGACCUAGAGUAUGGAAGGGGCAGAUGGAAUUAGUGGUGUAGGGGUAAAAUCCGUAGAUAUCACUAGGAAUACCGAAAGCGAAGGCGAUCUGCUGGGACAUUACUGACGCUGAGGCGUGAAAGCGUGGGGAGCAAACAGGAUUAGAAACCCUAGUAGUCC
rnacentral:rRNA from 1 species